UACGUAGGUGGCAAGCGUUGUCCGGAUUUACUGGGCGUAAAGGGCGCGCAGGCGGCUCAUCAAGUCUGGGGUGAAAUCUCCCGGCUCAACCGGGAGGGGUCUCUGGAUACUGAUGGGCUUGAGGAAAGCAGAGGAAAGCGGAAUUCCCGGUGUAGCGGUGAUAUGCGUAGAUAUCGGGAGGAACACCAGUGGCGAAGGCGGCUUUCUGGGCUCUUCCUGACGCUGAGGCGCGAAAGCGUGGGGAGCGAACCGG
rnacentral:rRNA from 1 species